rnacentral:tRNA from 1 species
GAAGGUAUAGCUCAGGGUAGAGUGCGUGCUUCGCAGUAGAGUGUGUGCUUAGCAUGUAUGAGGUCCUGGGUUCAAUCCCCAGUACCUCCA